GAUGAACGCUGGCGGUAUGCUUAACACAUGCAAGUCGAACGGACUCUUCGGAGUUAGUGGCGGACGGGUGAGUAACGCGUGAGAAUCUGGCUUUGGGUUCGGGACAACCACUGGAAACGGUGGCUAAUACCGGAUGUGCCGAGAGGUAAAAGAGAAAUUGCCUGAAGAUGAGCUCGCGUCUGAUUAGCUAGUUGGUGAGGUAAAGGCUCACCAAGGCAGCGAUCAGUAGCUGGUCUGAGAGGAUGACCAGCCACACUGGGACUGAGACACGGCCCAGACUCCUACGGGAGGCAGCAGUGGGGAAUUUUCCGCAAUGGGCGAAAGCCUGACGGAGAAAUACCGCGUGAGGGAAGAAGGCUCUUGGGUUGUAAACCUCUUUUCUUAGGGAAGAACAAAAUGACGGUACCUAAGGAAUCAGCAUCGGCUAACUCCGUG
rnacentral:rRNA from 1 species